GACGAACGCUGGCGGUGUGCCUUAGGCAUGCAAGUCGAACGGUUCCGAGUCGCAAGAUUCGGGAUAGUGGCAGACGGGUGAGUAUAAGGUAGGAAUCUACCUCUUGGUGGGGAAUAAUCCGGCGAAAGCUGGACUAAUACCGCAUAACUUUGCAAGAAAAAAGAGCUUAACUGCUCGCCGAGAGAUGAGCCUGCCCGCUAUCAGCUUGUUGGUAAGGUAAUGGCUUACCAAGGCUAUGACGGCUAGGGGGCGUGAGAGCGUGGCCCCCCACAAGAACACUGAGACACGGGUUCUACACCUACGGGUGGCAGCAACCGGGAAUUUUGCGCAAUGGACGAAAGUCUGACGCAGCAACACCGCGUGCGGGAUGAAGGCCUUCGGGUCGUAAACCGCUGUGGAAGGAGAGCAAGCUCUGAGAGUAUCCUUCUAGAAAGCACCUGCUAACUACGUGCCAGAAGCCUCGGUAAUACGUAGGGUGCAAGCGUUGUCCGGAAUUAUUGGGCGUAAAGAGUAUCGUAGGCGGCCAGUUAAGUGGCGGGUUAAAGCCUGGAGCUCAACUCCAGAGAUGCUCGUCAAACUAAUUGGCUAGAGGAAGUUCGGGAGUGCUGGAAUUCUCGGUGGAGGUGUGAAAUCCGUUGAUAUCGAGAAGAAUACCAAAAGCGAAGGCAGGCAACUAGAACAUUCCAGACGCUGAUGAACGAAAGCUAGGGGAGCGAAAGGGAUUAGAGACCCCUGUAGUCCUAGCCGUAAACUAUGAACACUAGCUAUUUCCCGUAAGGGGAGUGGCGCAAGCUAACGCGUUAAGUGUUCCGCCUGGGGAGUACGACCGCAAGGUUAAAACUCAAAGGAAUUGACGGGGAAACGCACAAUCAGCGUGCCAUGUGGUUUAAUUGGAUACGAAACCUUGAACCUUACCUAGAUUUGACAUGUAACUGCUAAUCCCUGGAAACAGGGACUCCCUUCGAGGGUGUUACACAUCUUGCUGCAUGGUUGUCGUCAGUUCGUGUCGUGAGGCGUCGGCUUAAGUGCCGUAACGGAACGCAACCCCUGUGCUAUGUGAAAUAUCCAUAGCAGACAGCCUAGGAUUUUUCCAAAGAGGAAGGAGGGGAUGACGUCAAAUCGGCAUGGCGCUUAUAUCUAGGGCUACACACAUGGCGUUAUGGGUGGGACAACGGGAUGCCAAGGCGAGAGCAGGAGCUAAUCCUUAUAAACCCAUCCCUCAGUUUGGAUUGCAGGCUGCAAUUCGCAUGCAUGAAAGGGAGUUGAUAGUAAUCGCGGAUCAGCGAACACCGC
rnacentral:rRNA from 1 species